GGCUCAGGAUAAACGCUGGCGGCGUGCCUAAUACAUGCAAGUCGAACGAAGGCUGUAGCAAUAUAGUCUUAGUGGCGAAUGGGUGAGUAACGCGUUGGUGACCUACCCCGAAGUGCGGGAUAACAGUUCGAAAGGACUGCUAAUACCACAUGUGGUUACAGGGUUUAGAAGCCUGUAACUAAAGGAGCAAUCCGCUUCGGGAGGGACCUGCGUCCCAUCAGCUAGUUGGCGAGGUAAUAGCUCACCAAGGCUACGACGGGUAGGGGGCCUGAGAGGGUGGCCCCCCACACUGACACUGAAACACGGGUCAGACACCUACGGGUGGCAGCAGUAGGGAAUAUUGCACAAUGGGCGAAAGCCUGAUGCAGCAACGCCGCGUGCACGAUGAAGGCCUUCGGGUUGUAAAGUGCUUUUUGAGGGGAUGAGGAAGGACAGUACCCUCAGAAUAAGGAUCGGCUAACUACGUGCCAGCAGCCGCGGUAACACGUAGGAUCCGAGCGUUAUCCGAAUUUACUGGGCGUAAAGCGUGUGCAGGCGGUUUGACAAGUUGGAUGUGAAAGCUCCCGGCUCAACUGGGAGAGGCCGUUCAAAACUGUCAGACUUGAGGAUGGUAGAGGAAGGUAGAAUUCCCGGUGUAGUAGUGAAAUGCGUAGAUAUCGGGAGGAAUACCAGUGGCGAAGGCGGCCUUCUGGACCAUUCCUGACGCUCAGACACGAAAGCUAGGGGAGCGAAUGGGAUUAGAAACCCCAGUAGUCCUAGCCGUAAACUAUGUGAACUUGGUGUCGGUGGGGUAAAAGCUAUCGGUGCCGAAGCUAACGCGAUAAGUUCACCGCCUGGGGACUACGGCCCGCAGGUUAAACUCAAA
rnacentral:rRNA from 1 species